UACAGAGGGUGCAAUCGUUGUUCGGAAUCAUUGGGCGUAAAGGGCGUGUAGGCGGUUUGUUAAGUCAUGUGUGAAAUCCCUCGGCUCAACCGGGGAACGACGCAUGAAACUGACAAGCUAGAGUACCAAAGAGGGGGGUGGAAUCCCCGGUGUAGCGGUGAAAUGCGUAGAUAUCGGGAGGAACACCAGUGGCGAAGGCGGCCCCCUGGUUGGAUACUGACGCUGAGACGCGAAAGCGUGGGGAGCAAACAGG
rnacentral:rRNA from 1 species